GGGCAGUGGUCUAGGGCACUGCAUCGCAGUGCUAGCUUCGCCACCAGAGUCUCUGGGUUCGCGCCCAGGCUCUGUCGCAGCCGGCCGCGACCGGGAGGUCCAUGGGGCGACGCACAAUUGGCCUAGCGUCGUCCGGGUUAGGGAGGGUUUGGCUGGUAGGGAUAUCCUUGUCUCAUCGCGCUCCAGCGACUCCUGUGGCGGGCCGGGCGCAGUGCACGCUAACCAAGGGGGCCAGGUGCACGGUGUUUCCUCCGACACAUUGGUGCGGCUGGCUUCCGGGUUGGAGGCGCGCUGUGUUAAGAAGCAGUGCGGCUUGGUUGGGUUGUGCUUCAGAGGACGCAUGGCUUUCGACCUUCGUCUCUCCCGAGCCCGUACGGGAGUUGUAGCGAUGAGACAAGAUAGUAAUUACUAGCGAUUGGAUACCACGAAAAUUGGGGAGAAAAGGGGAUAAAAUAAAAAAUAAAAAAAUGUUUUGUUAUGAAAGCAUGUUACUAUUGAUGUUCCCGAACAGAUUUCAUUUGGUUUCACAAAUUUAGCCCCCUUUCCCUUUUCCACAUUUUUUCCCCGUUACAGCCUUAUUCUAAAAUUGAUUAAAUAUUUUAUUCUCCUCAUCUAUCUAAACCCAAUACCCCAUAAUGAGAAAGUGAAAACAGUUUAUGUGUGUGUAAAUUUACUAAAAAUAAAACACAGAAAUACCUUAUUUACAUAAGUAUAAAUACCCUUUGCUAUGAGAUCCGAAAUUGAGCUCAGGCGCAUCCUGUUUCCAUUCAUCAUCCUUGAGAUGUUUCUACAACUUGUGGUAAAUUCAAUUGAUUGGACAUGAUUUUGAAAAGGCACACACCUGUCUAUAUAAGGUCCCACAGUUGACAGUGCCUGUCAGAGCAAAAACCAAUGCAUGAGGUCGAAGGAAUUGUCUGUAGAGCCCCGAGACAGGAUUCUGUUUCGGCACCCAAAAAAAUGUCUGCAGCAUUGAAGGUCCCCAAGAACACAUCGAUUUUCAGCGGCAGCGACUGUGAGACUAGUCAGGAUCAAGGGAAAGAUGAACGGAGCAAAGUACAGAGAGAUCCUUGAUGAAAACCUGCUCUAGAGAGCUCAGGACCUCAGACUGGGAGCGAAGGUUCACCUUCCAACAGAACAACGACCCCAAGCACACAGCCAAGACAAUGCAGAAGUGGCUUCAGGACAAGUCUCUGAAUGUCCUUGAGUGGCCCAGCCAGAGUCCGGACUUGAACCCGAUCGAACAUUUCUGGAGAGACCUGAAAAAGGCUGUGCUGCGACGCUCCCCAUCCAACCUGACAGAGCUUGAGAGGAUCUGCAGAGAAGAAUGGGAAAAACUCCCCAAAUACAGAUGUACCAACCUUGGAGUGUCAUACCCAAGAAGACUCGAGGCUGUAAUCACUGCCAAAGGUGCUUCAACAAAGUACUGAGUAAAGGGUCUGAAUACUUACGCAAAUGUAAUAUUUCAGUUGAUUAUUUGUUUUAUUUGCAAAAAUUCCCCAAAACCUGUUUUUGCUUUGUCAUUAUGGGGUAUUGUAUGUAGAUUGAUUAGGUAAAAAAAUUAUUGAAACCAUUUUAGAAUAAGGCAGUAACUUAAGUCAAGGGGUCUGAAUACUUUUCAAAUGCACUGUAGUUGCAUCAUGCAGGCCAUAUAUGUUUUGAUUUCUAAGACAUUCUAAGGUUUGUAUCAUUCACAACUAAAGUUGCCAAAUCACUAGAUUUAAAGUUUAUAGAAUCUAUUUCUAAUUAUGACUUUAUGCUCAACAUAGCCACUUCAUAUGCACACUCGCUCGGGAAUGGGAAAAAUAUCAUUUCUAUUCAAUUGUAUUCUUAUCUGUGUAUUCGUGGAUGCCAAGGGAAGCCAAGCUUCCCCCAAAAAUGUACCAAUAAAUUAGCUUUUGUCUCUCUGUGUUCCAUAAUUUCCCAUCAAUUCACAAGAGGCUGAAUGUAUCUCACAGGAAAAAGGAUCCGAGCGAGCGAAAUAGCGCCCCUCUGUCUCUCUACUUGUAGACCAUCUAUCUGAUGCUGUCUGGUCCAAAUGAGUAUGACAUUGUUGCCAACCGUAGCAUUGAAGGCAAGGGAAGCCAGCGAGUGUCCUAUCAAAUCCCAUUGAGAGCAUACGUCAUUGACAGAAAAACGUGAAUUGUUGUAUCUCUUGAUGUUGUUGUCCUCCGGAGGCUAGCUAACCAGCUAGCUAAAAUGGGCCCUUCCCUAAAUUAUUCAUGGAGGAGAUAGGGAUUUGGACUUGUGGUUUUACUUAAACCUCCAUACUGGCCAAUGAUUAAAACGACGAUUCUGGUGCAACCAUACAUUGUGCCACUGGCCUGAGAAGAUGAAAGUUUGAUAUGCAUCUAGAUGUAGAAGGCUAAUGUUAACUAGCUAACGUUGCCCGUGAAUGGAAGUUAGGCUAGUGAGCAAGCAUUUUAGGCAGGUAACCUAGGACAACAACAAAUUAAAGUGUGCACUGUAUGACAAGAGUGAGCAUGAAAGAGAGGAUGGCAUUUGUGUUUCUCUACAAGUAAGGUGAGUCAACAUGUUUUUCUACUUGCAUGAACGUGCACACAUACGCAGAGAAAUCAGAACCAUGGACAGCCACAUCAUAUUUAGCUUACAUUGAUUGGACUACAUUGUUUUUGGUAUCUUUUAGUUGUCACUGUAUUAGACUAAGCCGAGGUUCUACAUCAAUAGUUGUUUAGUAGUCCGAAAAUGUUGGAAACAUUAACUUGCUUGACCAUGCUGUAGGUCAUGUAACUGUCUUACUGUACAUGCAAUAUGCUUUGUGGACUUCACUGGACAGGGGUUGCUAUCCAGUUUUGUUAUAAAACAAAGGUGUGGUUAAAUUUCUACCACUGUGUCUUCUUAUUGUCUCUGCCUUUAGGUCUAUAUUUCAUGGUCGCAGGGCAUAUGAAUUAACAGGUUAUAGAGUAAACAACACAAUUAUCACAACACAUGGGUUGUAAUAUGGAGAGGCUUGGCUUCCCCAGUACCCAUGCACCAGUACGGAUUCUUCUUACUAGAAAAUCAUAGAAUAGAAAAUAAUGGAAUGGGAUUGAUAAGCAUCUCUUCUCUGCUGAAUGAACUAUAUAAUGGAUGUGUUGUGAUGGUGUAUAUUAAAUGGAUUUAUUAGACUUUUUAAAAUGUAGAUGUUCUAAAGGCGCAUAUCAUAAAUGGGCUCCUGAGUGGCGCAGCUGUCUAAGGCACUGCAUCUCAGUGCAAGAGGUGUCACUACAGUCCCUGGUUCGAAUCCAGGCUGUAUCACAUCUGGACGUGAUUGGGAGUCCCAUAGGGCGGAGCACAAUUGACCCAGCAUCGUCAUGGUUUGGCAGGUGUAGGCCAAUAUUGUAAAUAAGAAUUUGUUCUUAACUGAUUUGCCUAGUUAAAUAAAAAAAUUUUAAUUUUUUUUUAAUCAAACAUCAGCAGCUUAUAUGAGUGGAGGCACGGAGAUGCUAAACAUGUUUGUUAAUUAUCAGUCAAUUACUGUGAGACCGGCAGUCAUUUGCAUUACCGGCCACAGCCCUAGAAUCAACCCAGACUAAAUGUUCCAAGUCAUUCUGGACAUCUACCUCCUUCUAGGAACUACAGUCUCAGUGGGAUAUGGAGGAAGAAAGUCUAUCCUUCUACUGCCUUUGCUUCAGAUGGUGCUGUCCUGUUUGUGAGACUCAAACAGCUGUGCACUUUGUGGUUCCCGCAACACAUGUCCAUAUCUGAUCCCUCUUUAAAGCUGCUCCCUUGUCUGUGAAUGGGAUGGAUAAAUACUGUGUCCAUCUAAUUCUGACAUUGGCAGUAGGCAAGUGCCAACUACCCAACCUGCCCUCAAUGGGCCUGACACUGAGAGGUGAAUCUUAGACAAGCCCUUUAGACUUUGGACCAAUAUAUCACAGGACUUCACACUUAUUCAAACCAUAAAGUAAUAGCAAGAGCAAUGACACAACAAGAGAGUGCAUUGUCUUGGCAGAAGCAGCGAAUGUGACACACGCUUGAGCGGAAUACAGUUGGACAGACACUUCAAACCAUAAAGAAAAAUAGAAAGUCACAAGUUUGUUGUUGUUGUUGGUUGUUACAGUAGGCAGUCAUUGCCUAGUACUGAAGCAACCGGGUGAAAACAGGAAGCGAUGACGGAAGCCUAUAAAGAAAUGUUUGUUUUAUCGGGUUAGUGGCACCAUAGACUUCCAAAUUUGCAUCCCAAUGGUGAAACUCUCCGAACACUAAGACAGUUGUCUUUUUUAAAAGGGGAUUGGAUGAGAGAAGAGAAGGGGGGGGAUCACAAUGAAGACUUGCUUCGGACCCAAACAAUCCUUGCCUUUGUCCUGCUAGAAAAUGCUUAACUGUGCUCCGGCCCAGCACCCAGCAUACCAAUUAGUGAAGCUUUGACUCACUAUCAGACAAGCCCGAGACUCAAAAGGUCACUGUCUGGGCCGUUUACAGACACAUCGGGGUCCCAAGUCUAGGACUACAUCCCAAAUUGCACCCUAUUCCCUACAUUGUGCAUUACUUUUGACCAGAGCCUUACGGGCCGUGGUAAAAGUAGUUUACUAUAUAGGGAAUAAGGUACCAUUUGGAACACAAGCUAGAGCCUGCCAGACACACAUCCUUCCUUUCCCAAUCCCCAGCCACAAACUCUCACAUUGAGACACAUUAAAUAAACACACCCCCUCUUUCAACCUACAACAUACUGCUCUGUAGAGACUUCCUCUUUCCUUUAAGGCACUAUUUUUUCAUUGAGCUGGCUAGUCUUGUACAGUGUCGUUUUUUGACAGCCUACUGUACAUCAUUCAUGAAGAGCAAAGGGAGUGAGUGGAGAGCAUCGGGAUACAGUGUACAUCAGUGUGGUGUCCUGUCCUCAGCAUGACUGUUUACCUUAGCUCAUACUGAAUCUACACUCUGUGUCCUGAGGGGGAAGAGGCAUUAAUGUGCCCUCUUCAUGACAGUGCUGGUGUGUGUGGACCAUGAUAGAUCCUUAGUGAUGUGGACACGAGGACUUGAAGCUCUCAAUCCAAUCCACCAUAGCCCCGACGAUGUGAAUGGGGGCAUACUCGGCCCUCCAUUUCCUGUGGUCUAUGUUUUUCUGACGUUGAGGGAGAGGUUGUUGUCCUGGCACCAUGUAAACUUACUGUUGUUUAGCAGGGUAUGAAAAACAAACCAACAAAUGACCAACAGUAGGCUAUAUCUAUGAACUAACAUGUACCUCCUUGCUCCGGCAGUUACGUCGUUGUAGGUAGAAUCAUUACACUGACUUAAUCCAGUCAGGAUGAUCAGGUUUUCCCUAUUAAUAGAACUGACUCUCCCUUGUCCUGUCUCCUGGGUCACAUCAUGACCUGUCUGAUCUGUUAAGUCACUUUCACCAGGGUACACACUUGUACACAAACAUAAAACAGUCCUUAUUUACACAGUUGUGCUGCCAGGAAGCCUGAAUCAUUAAGAUGCUUUCAAAGUAUCUUUCAGUUCUCCACUUCAUCUAGCACAGCAAGGACACACUCUACAAGCAGGAAGAUACAAACAUGGAUGAGGAUCUACAAUGCGCCUAGGUGUCAUAACAACAUUUGGUCAGUUGAACAGCACCAUGUUACUACCUUGACAUUAGUUCUCCUGUCACCUCCCUAGUGUUGUACAAAAGGCUUUGUUGUGUUUUGUUGCUAUUACUUAGUCCUGACUUCCUCCUCAGCGCUCUUGAAAGGCUGGUAUUCCCAUGGCACUUUCACUUCCUGUCUAUCAGCCAGUGAAGUUCUGGGUUCAGGUCUGGGGAGCGUGCCCAGAAGAGACCGCUCGAGUAGGAAGUGGGAAGAGAGAGAAACAAGAGGCAAGGAGUGUCUUGGUUGCAACAACACAUUUCAACAUUACACCACUCAACCUUUGGUUCCGGUUCUCUGUCAUGUACACGGAAGAGAAGUCAUUAAGCCAUAAAGCCGUUGGUAAUGUCAACAUUACCUCUUUAGGAGUAUGACACAAGUAGGGCUGUGACGGUCAUGGACUUUUGGCUGAUUGUAAUUGGCCAGCCAAAUGUCUGCUGUCUCCGUAAUAACCGUUCAAAUAGAAAAUAUAUACAUUAAAAGAGGCUCAUUUUCUAAUUUCCUGCAUGUGCUGCCAUAGAAAUAGAAUGAAUAGAACGGGCAUCCCGAAUAAUAGUGAAGACAUCACAACUAUGAAAUAACAAUAUGGAAUCAUGUAGUAAGCAAACAUUUUUGUUGUUAUACAUGUAUAUAUAUAUAUUUUAGAUUUUAGAUUCUUCAAAGUAGCCACCCUUUGCCUUGACAGCUUUACACACUCUUGACAUUCUCUCAACCAGCUCCACUGGUCUCAUUGGUCAUUGUUCCAAUAUUUGUAUGUGGAUAGGAGAUGAUACGUGUGCAAGUACAGUUGCCAUGUGUGACUGCCUGUCUGCAUAUGAAUGUACUCUGGGCUCAGUCACUUAAGUGAAAUAUUUCCCCUGAGAUUGGGCGAUGAUUAAUGGACUUGGUGAUAGCCAGCCAGCCAGCCAGUAGAUGUUAGACCAGAUGGGAAAGCAGAGUUUCUUUUAGAGAAGUUUGUCAAGUAAAGUCUAACAUAGCAUACUAGACACACUAAGCACAUCAGCUAAGGUACAUUAACCUUACAGUACCUUAGCAUUGACAUUAGCAUUAAUAUUAAUAAUAAGAUUAUUACAAACAAAAAAAAGAAUUUCCCUCAAGGGAGUAUGAACUAUUGCUCAUUGUCAAUUUCUAUUAAACCGGUGCGAUGUUAGCCUAUUUACCAGCCUCUCUCUGCUGUGGGGUGAUAGAGACAGAUAUGAAUGUGCCCCUCAUAGAUGCAACAUGCUCUUUGAUUGGUGCUAGUUAUACCAGAUAAGACCUGUCGUUGUGGUGUGGGAGUGGGGCAGCUGUGUGGCUCCAGUCACUCCCUCAUUAACGAUGAGGGCCAGACCAGCUGUAUGACACAAAUCCACUGGAAGACAAGAGAAGAAAGAGAAGGAAGAAAAUAACCUAUCUCUCAGAGACAAAGAGAGGGAGAGGGGUGAGGCCCCUCCGUGCUGCGACGAGAUCGGCUUCACGUCCCCAGGGAGCUCCACCUGCCACCUGGCCAGCCCUCACCCCUUACCCCGCCCCUCUUGGUCCCCCUUUGUGUCCCCUCUAUGGUGACAGAAGAUCCGGUCACAUUUGUGUGUUUUCAUCUUUCCUUUCUGACUGUGUGUUUUCAACUUGGAGGAGGCGCCUCCCUCACUUCUGACUUGGUACCAUCUGCAUCAACAGAACAAAGGAUGGAUGAUGAAGAAUAGAUCAAAGCUAAUGGUGUCAAAAACACUUCCUUCAUUUUCAUAAUCUGCCUGUUUUUAACUAAACUGACUAUCCAAGUGUUAAAUUGUUAAAUGGAUCAAAUGUCUGCCCGGAUUACAAUGAGUGUCCCCCCCCUGUUAAUGCACACAUACUGUACCAGGCAUUUCAUCCAUACACUUGGCAUGAGGACAUGGCUGAGUGCAGAUGUAUUGCCACCCACUCAAAGGGGGGUUAACACCCUUCCAGACGCAGUCACACUGGGCAGGGUAAAGGAAGGCCAAGUAGCGCCCUAAUCCUCACACUGGCUUGGCCAGCCUUUUUGUUUGGUUUCCAUUAUUAUUGAUAUGUCCCCAUCUCUGAGUGCCAUCUGGGGGCUUUGUGUGCCCUGCGGCCAGCUUUGUUACCAGGAGAAGCUCUGUUACAAUGGGGAAGGGGGCCUGGUUGAGAGGAGUAGGGAGCAGUGGAGACCCUUCAGCUCCUAAAGGGGGCUGUGCCCUGCCCUCUCUCUUUCCCCUCUGGGACUCCAUACCCCGGUCGCUAGUGAUGCGCGCGUUGACUCAUAACCCGCAGUCCCCGUGGUUAUAUACCUGAGCUGGUUGAAUAAAGAGAAAAUAAUACCUUUAAAAAAUCUAUACAAAUUUGACAGUUACAAAAUGGGGACUUCAAAUAGGCCUAUGGCACGUAAAGGGAACUAUAGUCUAUUGUUCAAAUGGGUUAAAGGGAAACUGAAAUCUGGACACGGAGUAUACCCUCUCACAUAGCCUUAAUAUUAACUCCUACAGAAUUCAGCAUUUCUUGCAGUAAAAUGAAGGCUACAUUUUGACUCAGGAAUAGGAGUGGCGGAAUAUGAUUUCUUUCUUUCAGCCUCUUGAGAGAAUGUGAAUGUGCAAUUAGAUACCGUCUGUAGAGGUGCUGUCUUUAUCAGCAUCAUAAAACCUGAUAGUAUUUCAACUAGAUAAAAUAUGCAUCCAAGCCAAACUUAAAUCUUAUCAGAAAUAUGUUGGGUCGUUUUCAGAGCUUUCCAUUUCCUUACAACCGGUCAAACUGAUGUCAUUUGGAAAUGUAGCACAGAAAAUCUUAUUAUUUUAUUAUUUCAUUUUCUCCCUUGUCGUCUAAACGUCUUUGCGCCGUGAAUGAAGCAGAGAUGACAGAGAACUUUCCAGAUGUAAACUAGACUGAAGCAUUCAUUCUAUCGAUUUACUGUCACGAAUCCCGCUUCCUGAGUCUGUGUUUGUCUGUGUUUCUGUCCUGGAGUGUGUUUCCGGUGUCCUGGAACGCACCCUGUCUGGUUGCCGGGCGAAUUAGCUUGUUGGGAGAUUGAUGUUCACCCGCACCUGUAUCCCAUCAGUAAUCUGCACACCUGUCCUGAUCAUCACCUCUCCCCUUCAAAAGCUCUGACCUGACAUCCAUUCCCUGCCGGAUCGUUAGCCAUGAACAUUACUCACCCGGAUCAUUUACCCCAUGCCCGCCUGGUCGACGGAGGAUUCCGCUACCCCAUUGGAUUCACCUAUUUACUCCCAUCAACUCACCACCGCUCCCCGCUACGCCAUCUGGAUAUAUCUACCCAUUCACAUUUCCUUGUAAAUAAAUACUCACCUUCUUCCUA